UGCGUAGGCGGUCCCUUAAGUUUGGUGUGAAAUCUCCCGGCUCAACUGGGAGGGUGCGCCGGAUACUGAGGGACUUGGAGUGCGGGAAAGGAAAGUGGAAUUCCUGGUGUAGCGGUGAAAUGCGUAGAUAUCAGGAGGAACACCGGCGGUGUAAACGGCUUUCUGGACCGUAACUGACGCUGAGGCACGAAAGCGUGGGGAGCAAACAGGAUUAGAUACCCUGGUAGUCCACGCCCUAAACGAUGCACGUUUGGUGUGGGUGAUUCAGUUCAUCCGUGCCGGAGCUAACGCGUUAAACGUGCCGCCUGGGGAGUACAGUCGCAAGGCUGAA
rnacentral:rRNA from 1 species